AGUAGAUAAUCACUAGACAAGAUUUAUCGUUCAAAAUUGGUUGUCCAACUUACUAUUCAUUCAACUAUUAUUGAUACUCAAUUUAGAUUAAUAUGUUUAACUUUUCCCUCGUUACCACUUAUACUUAAAAAUAUACGUAAAAUAAUGUGUCAAAAAAUAUAACAAAUUGAACAGCCAAUUUUGGAGCAUCUCAACUCACAUUGCACUACUUAACGAUGACAACAAAUGCUUUUUAAGUAGCCAUUAUUUCCUGUCUGUCCCACUCCAGCAUUAACACGCUUUCCCACCCCAAUUUCAUCUCAAAUUCGUCUUCAACACCAGCAACAGAUCUACUCUUAAUCGAUCUUUUCCAUCUUCUGGAAGUGUUUGUUACCAGUGUUGCAGCGGACGGUUCCCCCAAAAUUUCCUCUUUGAUUUCACCAUCAGUUUUUGAAGUAACUUUUUUGGGGGGUCUUGGUUUUUUGCGAGUUUCUGGGCAAUUCGAGGGAGUUAUUCGUUCUAUAUGUAGCAGUAAAACUUGGAUCAAUUUUCUAACUCCAAAAAGAUUAAAAACAUUCACAAAUCCUUACAAAAGAGAAACAUGAAACCAGACGUUGAAAUUGAUCAUCCCAAGUCGGGAAAAUAAAAAUUAA